AUCCCGUGAUAGGGGCAUCUACGUAGUAACCCCUUGAAUCUUUCCCAUGCCUUAUAUAAGGACUCAUUAUCCAAUUGUUGAAAAGUGGUGAUCUCAUUUCACAACUU
rfam:Gossypium hirsutum cultivar TM-1 chromosome 8, whole genome shotgun sequence